CAGCAGCGAAAGUGUUAAGAAACCAUUCUUGUAAUUCUUUCAACGCCACAAUGAAUUCUUCGAACCUAGUGUUUUCAUUAAUGUCAGUGAGCUUCGAGAAUUGGACUGUGGUUUGUCGAGAACGAGUGCUGUGAAAUAAGGUGCUGACAGUGGACACUUGUGAAAAUUAUUCAUGCCGGCAGUGCAAUAAGAAGUCCUUAUAAGUUUGCUCCACUGACAAGACAGCUAAAAAAAAAAAAAAAAAAGAGAA